UACGUAGGGUGCAAGCGUUGUCCGGAAUUAUUGGGCGUAAAGCGCGCGCAGGCGGCCUUUUAAGUCUGAUGUGAAAGCCCACGGCUCAACCGUGGAAGGUCAUUGGAAACUGAAAGGCUUGAGUACAGAAGAGGAAAGCGGAAUUCCACGUGUAGCGGUGAAAUGCGUAGAGAUGUGGAGGAACACCAGUGGCGAAGGCGGCUUUCUGGUCUGUAACUGACGCUGAGGCGCGAAAGCGUGGGGAGCAAACAGG
rnacentral:rRNA from 1 species